GGGGGGAGCGAGCGUGUACAGGAGGAGGAGGAAUGAGGGAGAGAGAGGGAGAGAGAGAGUGCAAACAAUGUCAUUCUGUUCAGGAGGCAAUGCUGCAGUCAACUUUGCCGCGCCAUGAAAGCACAUCACCAGCAAGCAAAAGGGCUCAGAGUGAGUGCAGAGAAGUUUUCCUCCUCUCCUCCCCGUGUGUGAUGCGGCACGAGACUCCCCUGAGCAGGCUCAUACACCCGUCCGGCUGCUGGUGGCGUGUUGGAACAUGCCUUGACUUGUUGUGCUGCCUGAGUGAAGCAAGGAGAGAGAGACAGCCACAAACACACAGAGAGAGAGAGAAGGAAGAGGCUGCUGGUCAACAGUCUUCCUGGUGUGAAGUCACCCACAGCUCUGCAGCACCCGUGGACGGUGUACUCGUUGGAGAUGAGGAGAGUGGAGAGAGGAGCUGCCCAGCCAGCUUGCCUCUAGUAUCCAUGUUGUCCUGUCAGCAGAGUGGCGUCCACAGGGAGAAGACAGUAUGGAACGGUCAGGCGGCCUAA
ensembl:lncRNA